CCGCAAGAAAUGAUUUAUCAUAUAUGAUUUCGGCUCAUACUUAGAUGCAUAGUAUCCUUGUGAU
rnacentral:tRNA from 1 species